rnacentral:rRNA from 1 species
UACGUAGGGUGCGAGCGUUUGUCCGGAAUUAUUGGGCGUAAAGAGCUCGUAGGCGGCUUGUCGCGUCGAAUGUGAAAACUCGGGGCUCAACUCCGAGCUUGCAUUCGAUACGGGCAGGCUAGAGUUCGGUAGGGGAGACUGGAAUUCCUGGUGUAGCGGUGAAAUGCGCAGAUAUCAGGAGGAACACCGGUGGCGAAGGCGGGUCUCUGGGCCGAUACUGACGCUGAGGAGCGAAAGCGUGGGGAGCGAACAGG